rnacentral:rRNA from 1 species
GUACACUCCUGCGGGAGGCAGCAGUGGGGAAUAUUGGACAAUGGGCGCAAGCCUGAUCCAGCCAUGCCGCGUGAGUGAUGAAGGCCCUAGGGUUGUAAAGCUCUUUUGUGCGGGAAGAUAAUGACGGUACCGCAAGAAUAAGCCCCGGCUAACUUCGUGCCAGCAGCCGCGGUAAUACGAAGGGGGCUAGCGUUGCUCGGAAUCACUGGGCGUAAAGGGUGCGUAGGCGGGUCUUUAAGUCAGGGGUGAAAUCCUGGAGCUCAACUCCAGAACUGCCUUUGAUACUGAAGAUCUUGAGUUCGGGAGAGGUGAGUGGAACUGCGAGUGUAGAGGUGAAAUUCGUAGAUAUUCGCAAGAACACCAGUGGCGAAGGCGGCUCACUGGCCCGAUACUGACGCUGAGGCACGAAAGCGUGGGGAGCAAACAGAAUUAGAUACCCCUGUAGUCCCAUG